CGGGUGAGUAACGCGUGGGUAACCUACUCUGUACACACAGAUAACAUACCGAAAGGUAUGCUAAUACGGGAUAAUAUAUUUGAGAGGCAUCUCUUGAAUAUCAAAGGUGAGCCAGUACAGGAUGGACCCGCGUCUGAUUAGCUAGUUGGUAAGGUAACGGCUUACCAAGGCGACGAUCAGUAGCCGACCUGAGAGGGUGAUCGGCCACAUUGGAACUGAGACACGGUCCAA
rnacentral:rRNA from 1 species